AUUGAACGCUGGCGGCAUGCCUUACACAUGCAAGUCGAACGGUAACAGGUCUUCGGAUGCUGACGAGUGGCGAACGGGUGAGUAAUGCAUCGGAACGUGCGCAGUAGUGGGGGAUAGCCCGGCGAAAGCCGGAUUAAUACCGCAUACGACCUGAGGGUGAAAGGGGGGGAUCGCAAGACCCCUCGCUAUUGGAGCGGCCGAUGUCAGAUUAGCUAGUUGGUGGGGUAAAGGCCUACCAAGGCAACGAUCUGUAGUUGGUCUGAGAGGACGACCAGCCACACUGGGACUGAGACACGGCCCAGACUCCUACGGGAGGCAGCAGCGGGGAAUUUUGGACAAUGGGCGCAAGCCUGAUCCAGCAAUGCCGCGUGCAGGAAGAAGGCCUUCGGGUUGUAAACUGCUUUUGUCAGGGAAGAAAUCUUCUGGGUUAAUACCUCGGGAGGAUGACGGUACCUGAAGAAUAAGCACCGGCUAACUACGUGCCAGCCGCCGCCGUAA
rnacentral:rRNA from 1 species